GACUGUAAGGUGAUGUGAUGUUGCGGAUUGUGCCUAGGGUCGUUGGUCAACUCGAAGUCCAAUAUUGAAUGUGGCUUUUGUAUUUAGCCCAGAGCGGGUGAUAGGCCCGUGCGAGUUGAUUGUUAGUCAUGUUGAACGGCCUCUAGACGCACAGUCCUUGGAGUCGGAUUGCUUGAGAAUGCAGUCCAAAGUUGGUGGUAAACUCCAUCAAAGGCUAAAUACCGACACGAGUCCGAUAGCAAACAAGUACCGUGAGGGAAAGUUGAAAAGUACUCUGAAGAGAGAGUAAAUAGUACGUGAAACCAUAUGCAGGUAAGCGGGUGGAGUCCAGCUGCGUGUUCUGGGGACUUAGCCAAUAGGCGAAUCAUGGGUGUUGUGAACUGCCACGUUGUCGUUUGCUUUGAAAGGCAAGUCGGGCUGAGCCCGAUGCGUGUUGCGUCCGGUAGACGAAAUGUGCGAUACGUGUGCGUGUGUUCGCCUAUUGGUGUCCUUCCUCAGGACGAACAUCACAGUCAAUAUGGCUGCUAGUAUGUGGUGCGUCAAACCGGCAAGUGGUGGGCCUCGAAGUUCAUCCUUGUCGGGAAGGCAGGUGGUGUGCGGUGGAGCUGUGUCGCUCUCUCGGGAGCGGGACGGCUGCGCUUGCAUGCUUAAACGUGGUUGCGGCCAGCCGACCAUCAUGUUGUGUGUUCACAUUUAACUAUGCAGUGUAUUGGUCAUUGUUUGUGCUUAACUCAGGGGCGUGGCGGUGUGUGGGCAUUGGUUUGGAUGCUUCCGUGUUGGGUUAUGCGUAACAGCGUGCCUGAUGCGCGACGUGUCUGCCUGCUCACAUGCCU
rnacentral:rRNA from 1 species